CAACUGGGGGAUCGCUCGGCUCGAGUGCCGAUGAAGGUCGUGACAAGCUGCGAUAAGCUGCGGGGAGACGCAAGAAUGUCUUGGAUCCGCAGAUGGCUGAAUGGGACUUCCUGUAUCUUCGGAUACAAUCGCGAUGCGAUAGGGAACCCCCCGAAUUGAAGCAUCUUAGUAGGGGGAGGAAAUGAAAUCAACAGAGAUUCCGUGAGUAGUGGCGAAUGAAAACGGAAAAGGACAAGCCGAAUCCCAACUCGAAAGUGAGGGAGAUGUGGUUUGCAGUCUAUCGUCUAAGUCAGAGAAGGUGAAGUUGCCUGGAACGGCACAGCCAAAGAGGGUGAAAGUCCCGUAACCAUACCUGAUAUGAUCACGUGACUGUAAAAGAGUAGCGUGCGCUGGAAAUCGCGCGUGAAUAUGGGAGGCAGAAACUUCCAAUCCUAAAUACAACUCGAGACCGAUAGUUUACAAGUAACGUGAGUGAAAGCUGAAAAGUAUCCUUGGCGGGAUGUGAAAAGAACGUGAAACCAGUUGGGUACAGGCUGACAAGGCGUGAAAGCGAUGAUAUGAGCAGCGUCUUGUCGUGCGUUUAGAAAAAUGCCCCAGGGAGUUUUGAUCAUUGGCGAGGUUAAUCAUUAAAAAUGAGUAGCCGAAGGGAAACCGACAAGUCCGCAGCAGUUUACUGUGAGGGACGAAGUGUGCUCGCUUGGAGUCAAUGGUGGAAGACCUGAAGCCCGUCGAUCUAUGCCUGGCCAGAUUGAAGCCCGAUGAAAGUUGGGUGGAGGAUCGCACCGUUGCUGAUCUGCAAAUCGCUCGGACGAGCUGGGUAUAGGGGUGAAAGUCCAAUCGAGAUGGGCAAUAGCAGGUUCCGCGUGAAACUACUCGUAGGUAGACGUUAGUGGAGAUUGAUUACGCUGUAGAGCACUGAUUGUGCGUUUAGGGGGAGCGAUCCCUCGGCGUGCUGCCAAACUCCGAAGGUGUAAUCGUUGUAGAUACUAGCAGUGAGUGAUGGUGGGUAAGCUACCAUUACGUAAGGUGAACAAACCAGCCUGAAGUUAAGGUCCCUAAAUAUCAGUUAAGUGUCACAGACAAACCGUGUCCGUGGUCGAAAACAACCAGAAGGUGGGCUUAGAAGCAGCCAUCCUUGAAAGAGUUCGUAACAGAUCACUGGUCU
rnacentral:rRNA from 1 species